CCUCUGGAGAGAACCGUUAAAUCGGUCGCCGAAGGAGCAAGCUUCGAAAGAAGUGAAACUCUCAGGCAAAAGGACAGAGG
rnacentral:ncRNA from 1 species